rnacentral:lncRNA from 1 species
AUAUGGUAACUUUGUAUGAACUUUAUGUUUGUAAUCUUACUUAUAUAAAAAAAGUUUAUGUAGUUUGAGCAUCCAGGUUGGCGUUGUGUUAUGCAAAUGUAACUUGCAAGUGUUAGGGAGUUAUAAAAAGAGUCAUAGUGGAACCUUAAAGGGGACGUUUCCUCGAGUUAGCAUGUUUCGUUUACNNNNNNNNNNNNNNNNNNNNNNNNNNNNNNNNNNNNNNNNNNNNNNNNNNNNNNNNNNNNNNNNNNNNNNNNNNNNNNNNNNNNNNNNNNNNNNNNNNNNAGAGUCUUAGUGAAGUGUGUGGUUGUGUAAAUGCACUUUUUAUCUUGAGCUUUAUGCAGCAAGUAUGUGGCAGAACUGAACAAUACAGCUCCACUUCAGUUUGGCUGUUGUUUUCACAUCCGAAAAUUUUCUCCUAUCCUGGUUAGUAGUCACCUGUUCUUUCUCUUAUUAAAAAAUUCCAUUGCUCUUCGUUACCUCCCAUUUACCCUCAACUAAGAGUUAUGGUGGAAAUGGUUUCUGUCAGCCAUUUACAAGCACCAUAAGGAAUCUCUCUCUCCUUGCUUCUGACUCGUUUAGGAGGUCCACUGGCUUGUUUACUGACACAAGUACUGAUUGUCUGACUUACUGACAUUGACACGGGGCAAAUAAUUGUUUUCUGUGUGGAACUUUACCAUUUUCUGCAUGGAAUCUACAGGUGAUAAACUCAAUGAAGAACAGAAUUCAUUAAAUGAAUCAGCAGCAGAGAUGCUCUAUGGUCUAAUUCAUGCCCGAUACAUACUGACCAGCAAAGGGAUUACUGCAAUGGUAAUUUACUUUCGAGAUCAAUUGAUGUCUGCAAUUUUAACCGUUUUAUUCAGCUCUGACUGUUUUAUAACUGAACUUCAAUUACUUUGUAUGUCUCAGUUGGAGAAGUACAAGAACAAUGAUUUUGGGACAUGCCCAAGGGCCAACUGCUGUGAACAACCAUGUUUACCGGUUGGUCAGUCAGAUAUCCCCAGGUCAAGUUAUGUGAGAAUCUACUGUCCAAAAUGCGAGGAUAUUUAUUUUCCGCGAACUAGAUAUCAAUAUGGUAACUUUGUAUGAACUUUAUGUUUGUAAUCUUACUUAUAUAAAAAAAGUUUAUGUAGUUUGAGCAUCCAGGUUGGCGUUGUGUUAUGCAAAUGUAACUUGCAAGUGUUAGGGAGUUAUAAAAAGAGUCAUAGUGGAACCUUAAAGGGGACGUUUCCUCGAGUUAGCAUGUUUCGUUUACCCUGUCCGAGUAUAAACCUGUAUCUGAUGGCAAUAGAGUGAACAUGUUAUGGGCCCACACUGCUCAGUUCAUCAUGGCCAGCGCAUUUCAAUUACAACAAAUUGUUUGUCGGUCCACACACACAGACAUGCCAGAAGAUGAUGCCAAACACCACCACCAAAAAUGGCCUCUCACAACCACCAAAACCCAGCUCAUAAACAUGAGGAGCAUUGUUGUUGCCACCUUUCCCCACUAUCAUGAAAAACCACUUCUACCAUACCCACCUAAUGCCACUGCUGCCAAAAUAUGUUGCAGAUCCUUUUUGUGUAUCUAAUGUGUGUGUGUGCGUGCCCAGGGGGAGAUGGCUAGUCAGAAGUCAGAACACCAAAGUUAAACUGUUAUAACACCCAAGAGUUACAGUCCUGGUAACGCUUCUGGUCCCAUAAGCUCAAAAGUCAAUGGUAACAUACUCACAUUCCAAAUCUUAGUGGUUCGUCUGUCAGGUGUGAUAAUUGAGGCAAGAGCAGGUCAUUGCUCAACUUAGUCAGUUUUAUAUGAUAUAUGGAAGGGAAUUAUUUCUAAAUCAUGCAACACUUCUUAAUAUAUUCAUUCAACAUUUUUACCAAAAAUUAUUUAGUGGUAUGUUGGUUAAAAUCACUGACUGGAGUUGUGUUUUGGAGCUGAAUGAUGAAUUUAGAACAUAUUUUCCUGUUAUUAUCCCAUAUUGUAUUCAAGCCACUAUAAUAAGGUAAACAGAUGGAUGCUCUGGGUCUUCCUCUAUCCUUUUGCAGAAAUAAGGUGGUGAGCUUGUCUUUCUUGCAUUCUGCGUUAUCUAUAUUAUUAUGUUUUCAUAAUUUGCUUAAAGGUUUAUAAUUGUUACAUUUGACCCAUUGUAAUCAGUUUAUUUAUUUGGUGUGCUUCAUGGAGAUGAAACUACUAUUAACGUAGCUUACACGGAAUUCCCUGUCAUGUCUAAUAAAUGAAUGAUAAAUUCUUAUUGAGUAUUGAUUGACAAAGUUGUAAUUUUAAUAUAGAAGGUGAAAAGUCAUCGAGUGAUAUCUGCUCUAAGAUGUCACAGGGUCCUGACUCUGCGGUGUGUUCUCAGUUAUCGAAAGUGCUCGAUCGUGAUAAUAUGGACAGUGAAUGCCCCUCAGUAGAUGGUCAUUGUGCAGAAUAUGAGAGGCUAUUGAGUGAUAUCUGCACUAAGAUGUCACAGGGUCCUGACUCUGUGGUUUUUUCGGAACAGCUUGAUCAUGAUAAAUUAGACAGUGAAUACAAUGAUGGAUAUUUGGAAUAUGUUCCUGGUGGCUCCAUCUAUUUCUCCAAGAAUAUGGACUAUUGAGGCUGCUCGAGUUCAGCAUCUCUUCUUAGAUGUAACUAAAAUAUUGUAUUGUAAUGAUUGUAAUGUUGUAAUGAUUGUAUUGUGAAUGAUUGUAAUGUUGUAAAAUAUCUCUUUUUAUAUUGUAAUGUUAUAGUGUGAAUGAUUUUAAAUGAUGUA